rnacentral:lncRNA from 1 species
AUCACUGGUCCCAAGUCCCUGAACCAGAUUUGUUCUACCAUGAUGAAGGAUACUACAUUGUAAAAUUCAAGACAGUGGCUGAUGCCAAAGAGGUACUGUGUGCCGGCCCUUAAUCAAUAGCCAAUAGGCCGAUGAUUCUCAAACAAAUGGACACCAGAGUUUGAUUUUACAGAAGAAUUUCCGACUGAAAUACCACUGUGCUGGCCCUUACUCAAUAGCCAAUAGGCCGAUGAUCUCAAAUAAUGGACACCAGAGUUUGAUUUUUCAGAAGAAUUUCCGAGUGAAAUACCACUGUGGGUUAAAUUUCCAAAACUACCAAUGUCAUGCUGGGGUAUGAGAUUUCUUAGUAGAAUUGCUAGCGUACUAGGCAAGCCAAUCUUUGCAGAUGAGUGUACUACAAAACAGACAAGGAUAUCCUAUGCCAGAAUGCUCAUUGAGGUGACUGUUACCAAAGAACUACCUACAGAAGUAAUGGUUAUGGAUCCAAAUGGG